rnacentral:rRNA from 1 species
CCUACGGGUGGCUGCAGUGGGGAAUAUUGCACAAUGGGGGGAACCCUGAUGCAGCGACGCCGCGUGAGUGAAGAAGUAUUUCGGUAUGUAAAGCUCUAUCAGCAGGGAAGAAAAUGACGGUACCUGACUAAGAAGCCCCGGCUAACUACGUGCCAGCAGCCGCGGUAAUACGUAGGGGGCAAGCGUUAUCCGGAUUUACUGGGUGUAAAGGGAGCGCAGACGGCUGUGCAAGUCUGGAGUGAAAGGCGGGGGCCCAACCCCCGGACUGCUCUGGAAACUGUAAAGCUGGAGUGCAGGAGAGGUAAGCGGAAUUCCUAGUGUAGCGGUGAAAUGCGUAGAUAUUAGGAGGAACACCAGUGGCGAAGGCAGCAUACCGGCGCCCAACUGACGCUGAAGCACGAAAGCGUGGGUAUCGAACAGGAUUAGAUACCCGAGUAGUC